UACGUAGGGUGCAAGCGUUAUUCGGAAUUACUGGGCUUAAAGGGUGCGUAGGCGGUGCGGAAAGUUGGGUGUGAAAUCCCUCGGCUCAACCGAGGAACUGCGCCCAAAACUACCGUACUCGAGGAAGAUAGAGGUGAGCGGAACUUACGGUGGAGCGGUGAAAUGCGUUGAUAUCGUAAGGAACACCCGUGGCGAAAGCGGCUCACUGGGUCUUUUCUGACGCUGAUGCACGAAAGCUAGGGGAGCAAACGGG
rnacentral:rRNA from 1 species